GGGCCGCGGGCGGGGCGAGGAGCAGGGACCAGGAGCCAGGAAGAGCGGAAAGAGAAGGGCGGAAAUUGCAGGUGCCGCGUUUACGUGCCAACCUAAAACGGUAGGGCCUCCACCCAGUCAACUUCAGGAAGUUCAAAGACAUGCAUUCACUGUGUGAAAUGUCUUUGAUCCGUCUUCCUUUAGGUUUGGACAAAUGUGUGAUGACAUAUGGGCUUCUCCGCUGGCUCAACGCUAAAGAAUCUGCUUGCCAAUGCAGGAGACCUGGGUUGGAUCCCUGGGUCAGGAAUAUCCCCUGGAGAAGAAAAUGACAACCCAUUCCACUCUUCUCACCUGGGAAAUCCCAAGGACUGGCAGGCUACAAUUCAUGGGUCACAAAAGAGUCAGAUAUGACUUAGCAACUAAACAACAACAGCAAAUUAUAACAUAUAUCCAUCAUUAUAGUGUCAUACAAGGCUAAUAUAGUCAGAAGACUUCAGACUUGGUCAAUUAAAAAAUGAAUAAGCAACAACUGUAAGAAGCCCAAGCAACAACUGUAAGAAUAUUUAAAUUGG